rnacentral:rRNA from 1 species
AGGGCACCACCAGGAGUGGAGCCUGCGGCUUAAUUUGACUCAACACGGGGAAACUCACCCGGCCCGGACACCGUAAGGAUUGACAGAUUGAUAGCUUUUUCAUGAUUCGGUGGAUGGUGGUGCAUGGCCGUUCUUAGUUCGUGGAGCGAUUUGUCUGGUUUAUUCCGAUAACGAGCGAGACUCUGGCCUACUAAAUAGUUGGCGCAUUGCUACUGUGCGCACAACACUUCUUAGAGGGAUUUUCGGUGUUCAGCCGCACGAAAUUGAGCAAUAACAGGUCUGUGAUGCCCUUAGAUGUCCGGGGCUGCACGCGCGCUACACUGGCAAAAUCAGCGUGCUUGUCCUUCCCCGAAAGGGGUUGGUAAACCCGUGAAAAUUUGCCGUGAUUGGGAUCGGACAUUGCAAUUAUUGUCCGUGAACGAGGAAUUCCUUGUAGGGGCGAGUCAUCAACUCGCUCUGAAUACGUCCCUGCCCUUUGUACACACCGCCCGUCGCUGCCCGGGACUGAGCCAUUUCGAG